GACGAACGCUGGCGGCGUGCCUAAUACAUGCAAGUAGAACGCUGAAGAGAGGAGCUUACUCUUCUUGGAUGAGUUGCGAACGGGUGAGUAACGCGUAGAUAACCUGCCUUGUAGCGGGGGAUAACUAUUGGAAACGAUAGCUAAUACCGCAUAACAAUGGAUGACACAUGUCAUUUAUUUGAAAGGGGCAAUUGCUCCACUACAAGAUGGACCUGCGUUGUAUUAGCUAGUAGGUGAGGUAAUGGCUCACCUAGGCGACGAUACAUAGCCGACCUGAGAGGGUGAUCGGCCACACUGGGACUGAGACACGGCCCAGACUCCUACGGGAGGCAGCAGUAGGGAAUCUUCGGCAAUGGGGGCAACCCUGACCGAGCAACGCCGCGUGAGUGAAGAAGGUUGUCGGAUCGUAAAGCUCUGUUGUAAGUCAAGAACGGGUGUGAGAGUGGAAAGUUCACACUGUGACGGUAGCUUACCAGAAAGGGACGGCUAACUACGUG
rnacentral:rRNA from 1 species